CCAAAGUGGGGUGCUCAGAGCCAAGAAGCAAAAGAAGUUAGCGUUCUAAAUUGGUUGGAAUGUUGACUGUGGGAUGGAGAACAGGAAGUAAGAUUUGAAAGAACUGAAACCAUGGACUCUGCUCUCCUUCUGAUGCCCACAGCCAACAAGGACCCUCUAUUCCUGCACUCAUCAGAUAUGUGGUAGCUCUUUCUCCCCAGUGGCAAUCCAGCCUUGGACCCAUCUGGUCAGGACAGUCGAAGAUCCUUCAGUCUUCUCUUACUUCAUAAGACCCCCCUUCCCCACACACAUCCCCAGUGAGAUGAAAGUUUUUAAGGCUGAGGCUGCCUCCCAACCCCCGCUGCCCACGGGGCUUGUUUAUUGAUUCUGAAGAGUUGGUCUACAGGUAUUUGCACUUCACUCAGGCUGAAACUCUGUCCCCAGAAGUCAGGAUGUUCUUGGAUUUUAGGUUGUCUUAGGAGAAGAACUGCUUUAGCCUGACUUUUGUUAAUUUCCACUGCUCUACAUUCCCUCUGAGACAAUGUGCUGUCUUCUUCUGUGGAGGAAAUUUGGAGAGCCAAGUUUUCUGACCUACUCUGCCAUGGUCCCAGAAUCCUCAUCUGCAUAUUUCUUGACUUUGAACUUUAUAGUAAAAUUGGACUCCGUUCUUUUGGGUGGGGUGGUGUGGUGUGGAGGCAUUGUCCCAAGCUUCAGGCUUUUUUCAAUACUGUCUUCCCAGGUAGUUCCAGGGAUUUGAAAGUUUUUGGUGUUUUCAAAAUGAUGUGAUUUAGGGAAAUGUGUAGUCACUGUGAUACUGUUCUUUAGACUUUCUGUUGGGAUAGCAAAUAUUUUUUUCUAUUCUAGAACUGUCACCCAGAAGUUGUUGUUGUUUGUCUUUCAUUUUCAAGGAAGACCAUAACAUCAAGGGAGGUGAUAUCAUGAUUUGAAACUGAGUUGGAUUUAAGUGAGGGAAGCUGGGCAAGAUCAUCUGCCUCACUUUUCCCUCCAACCAUCUGGGCCUAGUAGCCAGAUAGAGAUCAGGAUGAUUGGAGAUGGCCUUGGAUGGGAGAUCUUGGCCUUUUUAAAGUUAAGGUCUUCAACAGGUCUCAGUUUGACUGAGGCCAUACCCAUUGAUUCUGGGAAAAGUCCCUACUCCUAUGUAUUACUCUUAUUUGUCUAAUGCUGGCUAUAUCUUUGUUUAGGGUAUGGGGGGGUCAUUCUAUCUCUAUGACAACAGUCAUGAUCAAACCCAACCAACAUGUUCUUAACACCACCACCAAAAACAACUAAACCACCAAAACCUGAAAAUUAGCCACUACCACAAAAACAAUCCCCACUCCACCAGUGCUCCAGCACUGUGAGCACAGAACAACCAUCAUUAAUGACAAAAACCCACUGUCACCACCAGCAACCAGCAGUGGUCAAUAUUGCCACCUACAACCACCGUCAGAAAUGAAUAAUUAAUCAGAAUAAUAAUAAUAAUAAUUAGAAACUAAUAAUCCGCAUCUACUAUUACUACCGCCACUAACUAAACAAGUUACCUCCACCACCACCACCACCAAGAUGCCAUAUAGUCUAGUGAACAGAGAGCUGGCCUUUUUGUCAAGAUCUGGGUUCAAAUCUCUGCCUUUGACUGUGUGACCUUAAUCUUUCUGAGCCCAUUUCCUCCUCUACAAAAUAAACUGGAGUAAACUCAA